GACGAACGCUGGCGGCGUGCCUAAUACAUGCCAGUCGAACGCUGAAGGAGGAGCUUGCUCUUCUGGAUGAGUUGCGAACGGGUGAGUAACGCGUAGGUAACCUGCCUGGUAGCGGGGGAUAACUAUUGGAAACGAUAGCUAAUACCGCAUAAGAGUAGAUGUUGCAUGACAUUUACUUAAAAGGUGCAAUUGCAUCACUACCAGAUGGACCUGCGUUGUAUUAGCUAGUUGGUGGGGUAACGGCUUACCAAGGCGACGAUACAUAGCCGACCUGAGAGGGUGAUCGGCCACACUGGGACUGAGACACGGCCCAGACUCCUACGGGAGGCAGCAGUAGGGAAUCUUCGGCAAUGGACGGAAGUCUGACCGAGCAACGCCGCGUGAGUGAAGAAGGUUUUCGGAUCGUAAAGCUCUGUUGUAAGAGAAGGACGAGUGUGAGAGUGGAAAGUUCACACUGUGACGGUAUCUUACCAGAAAGGGACGGCUAACUACGUG
rnacentral:rRNA from 1 species